GAUCCUGGCUCAGGACGAACGCUGGCGGCGUGCUUAACACAUGCAAGUCGAACGAGAAUCUAUUGAAGGAGUUUUCGGACAACGGAUAUAGAGGACAGUGGCGGACGGGUGAGUAACGCGUGAGGAACCUGCCUUUCAGAGGGGGACAACAGUUGGAAACGACUGCUAAUACCGCAUAACAUAUAGAUGUCGCAUGGCAUUUAUAUCAAAGAUUUAUCGCUGAAAGAUGGCCUCGCG
rnacentral:rRNA from 1 species